AAAAGAAAAGUGGGAAUCCCAUUAACCAAACUUCCCUCUGUACAAAAAGAGAAACUAAAUAAUUAACAAAUAAAUAUUACAGAUGAUGGAUGGAGCAAGAAAAACAAACAGCUCUCAUUCCUAAUUAAGUUUCUAAUCUCUUUCAACCAAAAUUUUGGAGGCUGCAUAUGGGUUUAGGCAGCUAAUAAUCAACUGAGGACACCGGCCCUUCUGUUGCAAAAAGAAAAGAUGGAAGCAAAAGAGUGAGCAAGACCCAAUACUAUUGCCACCUUCACUUGACCUCUCUUGGGAAUCAAACGAUGCUGUGAGUAAUUUCCACUAUUGAUCAUACUUCUAGUUCCAGCUGCUGCCAUUUUCAUAUAUUUCUUCUUCUUUUAGCAGACUGCAAAAGUUGCAGAGAGAGAGAGAGAUGUAUAUGCCCGUCAAGCACCCAUGGAGGAGGAGUGAAAUGACACAGAAAAACAGGGGUUUUAGUGGAGAGAAAGUGCCCUUCUGUUCACUUUUGAGAUAGAAAGAGAGAGAGACAGAAAUAGAUUAGAAUAUUAAUAGGAAGAGCAUAGAGUAGAGAAAGAAUCUGCAACUUUUCUUGGGUGGUGUGAA
rnacentral:misc_RNA from 1 species